UCGUGUCCGUGUCGUACUUUUUAUUUCCCCUUUCACAGGGCAUAACACAGGCAUGCAAUUUACAUGUUUGAUCAGAUACUAGAUGGGCACUGAAGCACGGUGUUAAACGGGCCUGGGGCUGAAGACCGUAUUGUUUAUUAUCAGGAUGCAGCCUCUACUGCUCUGUGUCGCCACCUGCAGGGAUAGGUCGUGGACACGCUGAAGUGAAGAGGAAGAGAAAGCAGGAGAGAGAGAGACAGAAAAAACAGAAAGGAGCAGCGAGACAGAAGGGUCUCCACCAUGCACAGAGCUGAUCUGUGUGUAUAUAUUGUGACAUUUCCAAGUGGUCUCCGAUGUGGGGAUGGCACACCUGUUUAAUGAGCCACUAAUGGUGGCACUAAUUGAGGUGGGUUAAUUUCAUGUCAUCAUGAACUCGUCAUGUACAGCACCAAAGGAAUUGCAUAUAUGGCGCAGGAAAUAUUCUGUGAUUGAACCGAGGCUUGCCUGAUCCCCUAUCACCUCCCUGAAUCACACAAGCCUCUCUGAGCCCUUGGAUUUGAAAUGCAGAAUUCUUUCGAUUACCAUCCAACAACUUAAAGUUUCAUUAAAACUCACAUUCGGAAUGAGAAGGAAUGCUUAACAUGAUCACAGCACUACUCAACCGAGCAGCCACUCCUUAGCUGACUAAAUAAACAGGAUUUUUACGAUGAUUUCUUUUCUUCUUUUUUUUUUUCUGUUGCUGCAGCCGCACAGCCGUAAUGAGCAGUGUUUUAAAGUUUGGUUGAAGGUUUCAGUGGCGUGGUCUGAAGGAUUGUGAGGCAGCGGACAGUGGAGAGUUGCAGCUAAGGAGAAGAUACAAUCCUCUCACACCCUCAGGGCUUUUCCAUUAUCCCACUCUUUCUGGAUCAUAUAACACAGGGUUGUGUGUGUGUGUGUGUGUGUGUGUGUGUGCAGCCAACUUGUGUUUGGCUGUGAUUGCGUGCACACUUGUACUGUAUAUGGAUGUGUGCGUGUUCACAUUAUUCUCACAAAGUGCCCGUUCAUUUUUUGUUCUUACCACCUCUUCUGUCCUUUUAAAGCUUUCUUUUCAUUACUGUUAAUAUCUGGUUUGUUCUACCAACUAGGGACAAUGACAGGCGUGUGCUAUUUGAUAUUAAUUUGCCAAAUGCCCCAGGUCUUGACUUUGUGGGAGAAGGGGAGCAGGAGAGGAGCACAAGAGCAGUCAGGUGAAAGAAGCAAGAUAAAGAGAACCAUUUCAUUUAUUGUCUGAUGCCACAGUUGUUUCUCUUUUUACUCUGCAUCCAGACAAUCACGCACUGUUAGGCACAGAGGAAGACAAACAGGUUCAUAGAUGUGCAUACUAACAGGAUAGGCUCACAUUUUUUCAGGUCCACCUAAUUACAAAAUAACCAUAUGUACAUUUGCUGCUGUUAUUGCUGGGGGAGUGUAUCUAUGCUUCCUCCAGUCCAUACUAGUGAAAAGAUUCCUUACUAAUGUGAUUCAAAUGUAUGAGAUGGGAGGGAAACUGUAAUGACAGCAUCAGCAUCAUCUGUCAGAAGCAAAGAAGGAAGUAGUAGUAAAAAUAUUACAGUGCCACAAAUUUCACAGUGGGAGGAAGUUGGGGUAUAUGGAUGAGUCAACAAAAUAGCAGACUUUUACACGGGAGGUGUAUCCUUAACCAAGCGGUUAUUACUAUAACCAUGACUACAAACGUCCCCUAAACUUAGAGAGGUUUAAAUGUUAAACAAAACUACAACCAUUCCCAAAACCUACCCUACUUGUUGUGCCUAAACCAUUGUCUGACAUUAGCAUCAGGUCAGAAUUAGAGGACAUUCUAUAGGGCAUGGACAAAUUAUGACUUAAUGUGUUUUUAGAAAUGAAAUUUGUGUCAAGAGAGUAUUUCAUACUAAAAUGAUGGUAGAUAUCCACUUGAGCUUCAGCUGAACUUUAGUAAGCAUUUUUACACAGAACAGGGAUUUCCCCGCCUCAUCUCUUACAUCGGAAUCAAAUUAGAAAAGAAUCAUUUCAUAGCUCAUUUGGACAUGAAAAUCGAUCACAGUCACCAGUAACUCUUCAAAUGUACACAUGGGCAUUUUGUAUUAAGGUAGACUUAAAAACGUGAACCUAUGCUUUAAUAUCCUAUUCCAGUAUUUAUGGAGAGAAUAGGAGAAGCAUUUGCAUUUCUCCUCUCACCAAUGCCGCUCCCACACUAUAUUACAUCAUCUCCACAUGCAUGCAGCUUGCAUGGAUUCCUGCACGGCCCUGAACAGUUGGUGGACUGUCCGAGGCACUACUCUACCUCUAAACCUCCCUCAGUGCGGUCAAACCCUGUGUACUUUCCGUGUGUGUUGAUAGACACUGUGUGUCAGCGCCUGUGUCCUGGGUCAGCGUACGCCUUCUUUCUCUUACCCACCGUACAGCUGCGAGACAGUCUGCAGCCUCACAAAGCAACGGAGUAAUGAGUCCCAUGACAGUCCGGUGGAAUAGGCUCUGAAUAGGUAAUGAUGGAGUCUGAAGGUGUUGGAAACACUGGCUGUGUCUGAUGGGGGGUUAUAAUGUAGUCUUGAAGCAUUCUUCCCACUACUUGUCAGGGAGAGUUGUGCUGGCACAAUACUUGCCAUCUAAAAUUUAUUGUAUAACGUCACAUGCCUGUGUUGGAAUUGUGUUCCCCAUGCACUGCCCAUUGAAUCAUAUUCGGGUCCCUGUUCCUGGUUAAUGGUCUAUACAUAUAGGACUCCCCCCAUAUUUAUGCUAUACAUGCUACUGGGCCCAAAACAGGGAGGUGUACAGAAAGACAGAUUGCCACAAUGACGCUUGAUAUUCAGAUGUGGUGGAGCCCAUAUAACAACUAACACCCUGGCUGGACGGAGGAACGUUGGAACUUCAGCUGACAGUUCCUGUGUUACAUUCAAAUGACUUGUGUUAAUGUUCUUCUCUUUGCAGCUCCAAUGAUGCAUCUUGUUGUGUUUAUGUGCAUGUGUGUCACACAUGACAUUGUGUGCCUUUCUAUCCACCUGUCUGUAUGUUUUUCUAUCUGUACUCAUGUAUUUAUGUAUUUAUGCUCGGAGAGAGGCCGCCUAGUAGUGCCUAAGGCAUAAUUAAAGCCCGAGAGUCGAAGCA